rnacentral:rRNA from 1 species
AACGAACGCUGGCGGCAUGCCUAACACAUGCAAGUCGAACGAGACCUUCGGGACAAGUUGCUCACGGGUGCGUAACGUGUGGGAACCUGCCCUUAGGUUUGGGAAACCCCUCCGUAAGGGGUGCUAAUACCGGAUAAUGUCUUCGGACCAAACAUUUAUCGCCUUUGGAUGGGCCCGCGUUGGAUUAGCUAGUUGGUAGGGUAAAAGCCUACCAAGGCGACGCUCCAUAGCUGGUCUGAGAGGAUGAUCAGCCACACUGGGACUGAGACACGGCCCAGACUCCUACGGGAGGCAGCAGUGGGGAAUAUUGGACAAUGGGCGAAAGCCUGAUCCAGCAAUGCCGCGUGAGUGAUGAAGGCCUUAGGGAUGUAAAGCUCUUUUACCCGGGAUGAUAAUGACGGUACCGGAAGAAUAAGCUCCGGCUAACUCCGUG